GAUGAACGCUAGCGGCAGGCUUAAUACAUGCAAGUCGUACGGGAUCCGAGGUAGCAAUACUUUGGUGAGAGUGGCGCACGGGUGCGUAACACGUAUGCAACCUACCUUUAACCGGGACACAACCCACCGAAAGGUGAGCUAAUAUCCCAUAACACUGCGAAGUGGCAUCACUUUGCAGUUAAAACUCCGGUGGUUAUUGAUGGGCAUGCGCGACAUUAGCUAGUUGGUGAGGUAACGGCCCACCAAGGCUACGAUGUCUAGGGGUUCUGAGAGGAUUAUCCCCCACACUGGUACUGAGACACGGACCAGACUCCUACGGGUGGCUG
rnacentral:rRNA from 1 species